GCUAUAUUGGAUUUGUGGGUGUCCGGCGAACCUCGGUUGGUUUGGGCAGCUUGUCCCCCGAUUGGAGGCCAGGUGCUUUCUCAUCACGAGGGACAUGGGAGCAGAUUGUGCUGAUAAAAGCCAGCGCGGUCCAGCGACCAGACGAGGCCAGAGCAGAGGUGGUCACCCUGCUGCCGUGCGAUGCAGCCUUUGAAAAUGCGAUUCAGCUGUUCGCUCCUGUCCGCUCGCAUUAAUCUCUCGCAUGAAGAGGAGAGAUUCUGCGAAAAGACAUGAGCUUGAAAGUCUUUUGUCCCCAUCCACUUCUAUUGUAUGGAAAAGAGCAGCGUAAUCAUUCUUCAAAACAUCUCCUUUGUACAAGGUUUGAGGAGCCCUGGUCUUUGGUCUCCAUCCACGUCUGUUGAAAAGCACAGCACGAUCAUUCUUCAAAACAUCUUUUGUGUUCAGAUGGAAGAGCGUUACGUUUAACGGACCUGCGGACGCGGAAUGCUUAUCUGAGACCGAGAGGUUGUCAGCAGCAGGAUUUUGCUUUCAGCUUUAUCUUGAGUAGAGGUCCUGGCACAAACAUGCUGCUGGAGCUCCAUCCCAGAAGAUAAGAGAGACAGAGAUGCAUGCUGGGACAAGGAGCCACCAACACCUGCUUGGGGCAAACAGGUUUUUGACCUGAGAGAAGCC